UCUGAUUUAUGUAGUGUCUAUGAAUGUUAAUCAUGUCUUGGACAUUUAUCAAACUUACUGAUUUUUGUUUAUUUUGAUUUUCAUGUGAAUCCCUAAAUCUUGGAUAACAAUCGGACUCCGAUCAUUCAACAAGCAACAGAGUUCGUCGACCAAAACAGGAAAUACCGUAUGAUGAGCCAGCUUAUUGUGGGAAGGAAAAGUUCCAUAUGCUCAAUGUAUUGAACUUAUUGAUGAUGACUUAUGCAACUGCAGGAGUCUGAAUCUUUUUCGAACA